rnacentral:rRNA from 1 species
AUGUGGCUUGUCAUUCACCGAAGGUGUUUAACAGCGGAUAAUCUGGAUCACAGGGGUUGGCCUUCGAAUGGAGCUUGCCCACUGUGCCUCUCAACACACGAGGAUUGCACACAUCUGUUUGUGCACUGCUGUUUCUCCGAGCAGGUUUGGAUAAAAUUCAGGGACUAGACCGGGGCAGACUUUCGGACUCCAGAUGACACCUUUGGAAGUACGGAGGAGUGGUGGAUGAAUACGAGGAAGGAGGUCCCCAAGUCGGAAUGGCGUAAUUUUGACACUAUCGCAAUCUGGCUACACUGGAGGAUUUGGAAAGAACGGAAUGCUCGGAUCUUUGAGCAAGUGGCUAGCAGCGUGGACAGGGUACUCGAACUAAUCAGAGAGGAUAUUGCAACAUGGAGGGCUGCUGGUUGUGUUGGCGAUCUCUGCUGA